GCCUAAUACAUGCAAGUCGAACGCUUCUUUUUCCACCGGAGCUUGCUCCACCGGAAAAAGAGGAGUGGCGAACGGGUGAGUAACACGUGGGUAACCUGCCCAUCAGAAGGGGAUAACACUUGGAAACAGGUGCUAAUACCGUAUAACAAUCGAAACCGCAUGGUUUUGAUUUGAAAGGCGCUUUCGGGUGUCGCUGAUGGAUGGACCCGCGGUGCAUUAGCUAGUUGGUGAGGUAACGGCUCACCAAGGCCACGAUGCAUAGCCGACCUGAGAGGGUGAUCGGCCACAUUGGGACUGAGACACGGCCCAAACUCCUACGGGAGGCAGCAGUAGGGAAUCUUCGGCAAUGGACGAAAGUCUGACCGAGCAACGCCGCGUGAGUGAAGAAGGUUUUCGGAUCGUAAAACUCUGUUGUUAGAGAAGAACAAGGAUGAGAGUAACUGUUCAUCCCUUGACGGUAUCUAACCAGAAAGCCACGGCUAACUACGUGCCAGCAGCCGCGGUAAUACGUAGGUGGCAAGCGUUGUCCGGAUUUAUUGGGCGUAAAGCGAGCGCAGGCGGUUUCUUAAGUCUGAUGUGAAAGCCCCCGGCUCAACCGGGGAGGGUCAUUGGAAACUGGGAGACUUGAGUGCAGAAGAGGAGAGUGGAAUUCCAUGUGUAGCGGUGAAAUGCGUAGAUAUAUGGAGGAACACCAGUGGCGAAGGCGGCUCUCUGGUCUGUAACUGACGCUGAGGCUCGAAAGCGUGGGGAGCAAACAGGAUUAGAUACCCUGGUAGUC
rnacentral:rRNA from 1 species